rnacentral:tRNA from 1 species
GGGUCGAUGCCCGAGAGGCUAAAGGGGGCGGAUUGUAAAUCCGCUGGUGAUUGCCUUCGCUGGUUCGAAUCCAGUUCGACCCA